GAAAGAAGUUUUAUGGGAAAGCAACCCUCUAAUUUUAUUCAAUAUGGUAAAACCUUGGCAUAUCAGAGUCAUACCCAAAGGCAUAAUGGAGAGAAGCUGUAUGGAUAUAAUCAAUGUGGUAAAGCUUUUGCAAAAAGGAGUCAUCUCAAAAACCAUGAAAGAACACAUAGUGGAGAAAAACCUUACGAGUGUAACCAAUGUUGCAAAGCCUUUGCACAAAGCAGUCAUCUCCAAAGACAUAUAAGAACACGUACAGGAGAGAAACCCUAUGAAUGUAACAAAUGUGGCAGAGCCUUUGCACAAAGCUGUAGUCUCCAAAAACAUAAUAGAACACACACAGGAGAGAAACCCUAUGAAUGUAACCAAUGUGGUAAAGCUUUUGUACGCAGAAGUACUCUCAAUAUACAUAAAAGAUCACAUAGUGGAGAAAAGUCUCAUGAAUAUAACCUAUGUGGCAAAGCCUUUGCACAAAGAAGUGCUCUCCAAAAACAUGAAAAAAUACAUAUAGGACAGAAACCCUAUGAAUGUAACCAAUGUGGUAAAGCUUUUGCUCGAAUGAGUCAUCUACAAAACCACAAAAGAAAUCAUACAGGAGAGAAACCCUAUGAAUGUAAUCAAUGUGGUAAAGCUUUUGCACAAAGAAGUACUCUCCAAAAACAAACACAUACUGGAGAGAAGCCCUAUGAAUGUAACCAAUGUGGUAAAACCUUUGCAGGAAGAAGUAAUCUCCAGUUACAUAAAAGAACACACACAGGAGAGAAACCCUAUGAAUGUAAGCAAUGUGGUAAAGCCUUUGUGCAAAAGUGUCAUCUGCAAAAACAUGAAAGAAAGCAUAUAAGAGAGAAACCCUUUUAGUGUACCCAAUAUGGUAAAGCUUUUUCACAAAGCAGUGGUCUCUAAAAUCUUAAAUGUAUACACACAAGAGAGAGACUUUUUGAAUGUAAACCAAUAUGGUUUUCUACCAUUUUCACAAAGCAGUGGCCUCCAAAUACAUAAACAAUCACAUACUAUGGAGAAACCUCAUGACUGUCAUCAAUGUUCUCUAGCCCUUUUACAUAACAAUCAUCUUCAAAUCCAUAAAAGAAUAUAUACUAGAGAAAACUGCUGACUGUACCUAAGGUGGUAAAGCCUUUGCCCAAAACAGUCAUUUCCUAGCACAUAAAAUAAUACAGAUUACCUAGAAACCCUAUGAAUAUAAAAAAUGUGGUAAACCUUUUGCAAGUCACAGUACUCUCCAAGUAAGUAAAAGAAGACACACUCAAGAGAAACCCUAUGAAUAUAAUCAAUGGGAUGAAGCCUUUGUACACUGCAAUCAUCUUUCAAA
rnacentral:lncRNA from 1 species